UUAUCGCCUUCAUUCUGGCUGCUAGGGUAGGUGCAGCCCAAAGUCCACCUGCUGCCUUUCCUUUUCCCAAUGGCUUGUUCCAUAGAGUUGUGGCUGCUCCCUCUCUUACACCUGAUGGCUGCAGUGGCCUUGGAGGUAAAGACAAACAUUUCUCCGGUAUUAGGGCUAGUUGAGACUCAUGCUGUGCUUCACUGUAACUUUACACUCUGGCAGAGUGUUAAGAAGGAAGAUGUGGCAGUGAAAUGGACCAUGAAGACUGUGUCUGGAGAAGAGAACCCAGUUUAUGAGUUUGAUGGGAAUCUCAUCAAAGAUCAUCGACGUGGGUCCCUUGUAAAGACAGAGUUGCUCCCUUUUGGCAUUGCAUCACUCACACUUUCUAAUGUGACGUUGAGAGAUGAAGGGACUUAUACAUGUACUAUUUUAGUACCUCCACAAUAUGGACAUGGAAAGAUCCAGCUCAAAGUCAGAGCUAAACCUACAGCGUUGCUGUCACCCCAAAGGCUACAGGUUGUAGCGGAAGGAGAGAAGACCUUGUCUUGUCAUGCUCACAACUUCUACCCUCAAGCAAUUAAUAUCUCCUGGCUGGUCAGAAAGCCUGGCAGUGUGUAUGAGACUCCAUUAUCUUCUGAUAUAUGCACUGGGGUCCCAUCCCGUAGCAGCCAAAAUGGUUUGUUCUCUGUGCUGAGUCGGAUAACCCAAGUGAUGAAUGAGACCAACAAUGGUUCCUUGUACAUCUGUCAAGUCCAACAUGAGUCCCUGUCACAACCUUUGCAGAGAAAUACAGUGUUGUUGGUCACAAGAAAACACUAUCAUCAGGACACAGGCUUUAUCACUGGGGUGGCUGUCGCUUGCGUCGUGGUGACAGGCUUAUGCAGCAUAUACUUUACCAUAUGUUAUCAACAGUGGCUUGCAAAAGUGGAACCACAUGUCUCUGCAAUAAUCAAGCCUGAUCUGAUUACAACUAAUGAAAAAUUCAGAUUGAUAUGCAACGUAAAUAGAUUCCGACCCAAAACAAUUAAGGUGAAAUGGUACCUGAGAAACCCACAGGCAAUGGUAUCAUCAGGAGACUCUACCAGGGAUGAUGUGGCCCUUUCUGAGACCAGAGAAGAUGUCACCCAUAUGACAACACAGUCCUUAGAAGCCAGUGGCAGAUUAUAUAGCCUUUCCUCUUGUCUGACCUACACACCCACUAUAAAGGAUGAUGGGGCAGAAUUUGAAUGCAGUAUCCAGCACAGAACCUUGAAGACCCCUAAAAGGAAGAGCGCAGUUAUUCAUGUUACUGCUCGCCCAGCCAGUCAUUACAUCUUCAUCUGGCCUCAAGCGCCUGUGCCAGGAGAGAAGCUCAUUCUGAUCUGUGUGGUGGAGAAAUUUUACCCAAAGGACAUUGCUUUGGAUUGGUUUCGAAAUGGGCAGCCGGUGCAAAGUGUGGUACAAUUUGGACCUUUCCCAUGCGAAAGUGAUUUUUACAGUGUGUGGAGCCAAAUUGAGUUUAUCUUGACUACUGAUGAGGAGGGAGCCAUUUAUACCUGCCAGCUCAAACACAGCAGUUUUGGAAAUAUUGAAGAGCUCUCCUAUGAAAUCAAUUUGCAAGGAACCCCUCCAGAAGUUCUCUGGAUCACUGCAGAUCCCUCAGUACCUGUAGCAGGGGAGGAGCUGAGACUGAGCUGCAGAAUCAAUAACUUCUCCCCAAAUGUGAUUAGAGUGAACUGGUUCCAAGAUGGAGAACCGCUACACACAGAAAUCUAUCACUCAGUUUCUGUUGUUGGCACCAAGGGAUUGUAUUCCAUGUGGAGUCUUCUGAGAGUUACACCUAUGCAGGGGGUGGGAAAGACUGUGUUUACGUGCCGGGUGGAACAUGGGGCGCUGAGAGAACAUGUAGAGAGAUCAUACACCCUGCAGAUGCCUGCUUGACUGGGAAGGGGCCAAACUGAAUUCAUGGAAGAGAAAUGAAAGUUGAAAAGAACCAA